GAUGAACGCUGGCGGCGUGCUUAACACAUGCAAGUCGAACGGAAAGGCCCAAGCUUGCUUGGGUACUCGAGUGGCGAACGGGUGAGUAACACGUGGGUGAUCUGCCCUGCACUUCGGGAUAAGCCUGGGAAACUGGGUCUAAUACCGGAUAGGGCCACAUUUUGGAUGGUGUGGUGGAAAGUUUUUCGGUGUGGGAUGAGCUCGCGGCCUAUCAGCUUGUUGGUGGGGUAAUGGCCUACCAAGGCGUCGACGGGUAGCCGGCCUGAGAGGGUGUACGGCCAAAUUGGGACUGAGAUACGGCCCAGACUCCUACGGGAGGCAGCAGUGGGGAAUAUUGCACAAUGGGCGCAAGCCUGAUGCAGCGACGCCGCGUGGGGGAUGACGGCCUUCGGGUUGUAAACUCCUUUCGCUAGGGACGAAGCGUUUUUGUGACGGUACCUGGAGAAGAAGCACCGGCUAACUACGUG
rnacentral:rRNA from 1 species